rnacentral:rRNA from 1 species
GCAGUGUACCCGCGGCAAGACGGAAAGACCCCGUGAACCUUUACUAUAGCUUGACACUGAACAUUGAGCCUUGAUGUGUAGGAUAGGUGGGAGGCUUUGAAGCGUGGACGCCAGUCUGCGUGGAGCCGACCUUGAAAUACCACCCUUUAAUGUUUGAUGUUCUAACGUGGACCCGUAAUCCGGGUUGCGGACAGUGUCUGGUGGGUAGUUUGACUGGGGCGGUCUCCUCCUAAAGAGUAACGGAGGA